CAGAACGAACGCUGGCGGCAUGCCUAACACAUGCAAAGUCGGAACGAGACCUUCGGGUCUAGUGGCGCACGGGUGCGUAACACGUGGGAAUUUGCCUCGGGGUAUGGAAUAACUCAGGGAAACUUGAGCUAAUACCAUAUAAUGUCUUCGGACCAAAGAUUUAUCGCCCUGAGAUAAGCCCGCGUAGGAUUAGCUAGUUGGUGGGUAAAGGCUCACCAAGGCGACGAUCCUUAGCUGGUCUGAGAGGAUGAUCAGCCACACUGGGACUGAGACACGGCCCAGACUCCUACGGGAGGCAGCAGUGGGGAAUAUUGGACAAUGGGCGAAAGCCUGAUCCAGCAAUGCCGCGUGAGUGAUGAAGGCCUUAGGGUUGUAAAGCUCUUUUACCAGGGAUGAUAAUGACAGUACCUGGAGAAUAAGCUCCGGCUAACUCCGUG
rnacentral:rRNA from 1 species